CAGUCGUACCUUCGGGUAAUCAGCCUUUCGGGUGCGAUUCUGUGGAGUGUGAGGAGCUUAAACACCUUCAUGUUUUGCAUAUUCGUACUCUUGGGUGUACUUGCCCGUAUGGUUGGUUAACAUCAAUUUUGGUGGUCAUAAAAUGACUGGAGGAAUGUAGCUUCGAUCUCGUAUUGAAGUGUUAUAGCCUUCGGUAGAUGUGGUGAUCGAGAUUGAGGAUUGCAACGGAUACCUUUCGGGGCUACCUGUCUGAUCUCUGAUCGUUGCUUUGGUGCUGAAAGCGUGCUUAUAGUUAUCAAAGUCGAUGGUCAAUAGGUUAGAAUGGGUUAAA
rnacentral:rRNA from 1 species